UAAACUGCUUUUAUCCACCAAGAAAAACAUCCACUGUUGGGGUGCCCGACGGUAAGGUAUGAAUAAGCAUUCGGCUAACUCCGUGCCAGCAGCCGCGGGUAAUACGGAGGAUGCAAGCGGUAUCCGGGAUUCAUUGGGUUUAAAGGGUGCGUAGCGGCUUUUUAAGUCAGUGGUGAAAUCUUGCCGCUUAACGGUAAAAUUGCCAUUGAUACUGAAAAGCUUGAGUACAGUUGAGGUAAGCGGAAUGUGUAGUGUAGCGGUGAAAUGCUUAGAUAUUACACAGAACACCGAUUGCGAAGGCAGCUUACUAAACUGUUACUGACGCUGAUGCACGAAAGCGUGGGGAGCGAACAGGAUUAGAUACCCUGGUAGUCCACGCCGUAAACGAUGCUCACUCGCUGUAUGCGAUACACAGUAUGCGGCCAAGCGAAAGCAUUAAGUGAGCCACCUGGGGAGUACGAUCGCAAGGUUGAAACUCAAAGGAAUUGACGGGGGCCCGCACAAGCGGAGGAACAUGUGGUUUAAUUCGAUGAUACGCGAGGAACCUUACCUGGGCUUAAAUGGGGAACGACAGCUGCCGAAAGGUGGCCUUCUUCGGACGUUCUUCAAGGUGCUGCAUGGUUGUCGUCAGCUCGUGCCGUGAGGUGUCGGGUUAAGUCCCAUAACGAGCGCAACCCUUAUCGUUAGUUGCCAGCGGGUCAAGCCGGGGACUCUAGCGAGACUGCCACCGUAAGGUGUGAGGAAGGUGGGGAUGACGUCAAAUCAGCACGGCCCUUAUGUCCAGGGCUACACACGUGUUACAAUGGCCGAUACAAAGGGCAGCUACCAGGUGACUGGAUGCUAAUCUCUAAAGUCGGUCUCAGUUCGGAUCGAAGUCUGCAACCCGACUUCGUGAAGCUGGAUUCGCUAGUAAUCGCGUAUCAGCCAUGAUGCGGUGAAUACGUUCCCGGGCCUUGUACACACCGCCCGUCAAACAAUGGAAGCUGGGGGUACCGAAGUCUGUAACCGCAAGGAGCGGCCUAGGG
rnacentral:rRNA from 1 species